UACGGGGGGGGCAAGCGGUUGUUCGGAAUUACUGGGCGUAAAGGGCUCGUAGGCGGCCAACUAAGUCAGACGUGAAAUCCCUCGGCUUAACCGGGGAACUGCGUCUGAUACUGGAUGGCUUGAAUCCGGGAGAGGGAUGCGGAAUUCCAGGUGUAGCGGUGAAAUGCGUAGAUAUCGUAAGGAAGACCAGUGGCGAAGGCGGGUCUCUGGACAGGUUCCUGACGCUGAGGCACGAAGGCCAGGGGAGCGAACGGG
rnacentral:rRNA from 1 species